UGAAUGCAGUGUGUGUAGUGAGUGCAGUGUGUAUAAUAAAUGUAGUGUGAUUGUAGUGAGUGCAGAGUGUGUAUAGUGAAUGUAGUGUGUUUGUAGUGAGUGCAGAUGCAGAGUAUGUAUAGUAAAUGUAGUGAGUGCAGUGUGUAUAGUGAAUAUAGUGUGUUUGUAGUGAGUGCAGAGUGUGUAUAAUGAAUACAGUGUGUGUAGUGAGUGCAGUGUGUAUAAUAAAUGUAGUGUGAUUGUAGUGAGUGCAGAGUGUGUAUAGUGAAUGUAGUGUGUUUGUAGUGAG